rnacentral:rRNA from 2 species
UACGAAGGGGGCUAGCGUUGCUCGGAAUCACUGGGCGUAAAGGGCGCGUAGGCGGCUGAUUUAGUCGAGGGUGAAAGCCUGUGGCUCAACCACAGAAUUGCCUUCGAUACUGGUUGGCUUGAGACCGGAAGAGGACAGCGGAACUGCGAGUGUAGAGGUGAAAUUCGUAGAUAUUCGCAAGAACACCAGUGGCGAAGGCGGCUGUCUGGUCCGGUUCUGACGCUGAGGCGCGAAAGCGUGGGGAGCAAACAGG